GAAAACAGGAAGCAAGAUAUCUGUGAACAUGCUUUGAUCUACUAACAUUGAUGAUGAUGAUUAUGACUGCUAGAGUAAUUCUAGCCCCAGUCAUAGGCUACUGAGAAGUAAGUCAGCAAACAAUAAAGAACUACUGGAUCUGAUAGAGAAUCAGCAAUCAUCAAGAGACUUUGCACAUUGAGCUAGAUGCAUAACUGGACAAGUUUCCUUGAAACUAUCUGUGGCCAUGUGAUUAAGUUCCAGGGACUUCCCUAAUCCUACUGAAGCAGUGAUAUUACAAGAAAUCGGAGCUGUUUGGGAAGCCCAUCCUUCUAGCCCCUCAAAAAAUUCCAGUCAAUCCCCAGAAACCUAGAUGUUAAAAGCAAGACAUAGCAUGCCAAGGAGGCAGGAAUCUCAGAGUUCCAACUGGUGAAGCUGCCAGGUCCAAGAGAGAAGUUCGACAGGUAGUAGAGGGCUGUGGGAAGAGCACUGAACUUGGAAUCAAGACACUUCAGUCCAGUCUCAUCUUCCACCUUCUGGUUAAACAGAAGCAAAUCUCCCAGCACCCUGAGGAUCACCAUCCCUCUACCAAAACAUGAGUAUUAAACUACAUGAACUCUAAUGUACUUUUCCUUUAUUUUCAGAGGGAAAAUAUGUUUUAUUAAACAUAU